ACUGCAUCUGUUGUCAUAAAGCGUCUUUUCUCCAUUGAUGACUAUUCAAAAGUAGCUGUAUAUUCUAUUAACAUUUUUCCAUAAGUGGUUAAUUAUGCUUGUACUUAUCCUGUUGAAAUGUACAAAAUGUAAUUUAGUAGUAGAAAAAGAGCAAAAGGACAUCAUAAAUCAUUCAAACAUAUUCAAGGCAGAUAGAAACAGAGAGGACAGGAAACAGGUUGUGGUUCAUGAAUUCACAGCUAAUUUCCUGGUCAAAACUGAGAGGCGUUUUCUCACUGAACACCACAUAGAAACACAGACACACAGUCAGUAGAGAGUAGAGUUUGACUCGUGAGACGAGAAAUAAACAUUUUAUUCUCCACUGAUAGAUGAGCGCAGUAUUAUUGUUAUUUGAGUUUCAGAAAGUAGUUUGAGGAACUGCUGAGAGUUUCAGACUGAUUUUCUGAACUGAACUGAUGAAGAAAUGAAGUUUCCGCUGACAGUUUGUGUGUUUCUACUGACGGGUCUGCGGUCGUCCUCCAUUGUAGAGUUUAAUCCAGUGUUUUAUGAACAGAUCAAAGACACUGAACCUCACUGUGAUCCAGAGGACAGAGACACAAUUACAACUGUAUUUUACAGCCGUUGUUCAUGAACUACUGUAAAAUAUAUAAUAUAAUAUAAUGGCAAAUCAUCUUCAUCCUUCUCAUCAUUUUCAUUGAUUUACUGAACAUGAGUAAUAAUCAAGCUUAUUUUGUCUGUUCAUUCUAGUUCAGAAAGAUCAGAUUCAUCUUCAUGACUUGAUUAUUUGGUCUUUUUUAUUGUAAUUAAUUAUCAUUAAUGUGGCAGUUUUACAUUUGAUUAUGAAUAUGGAUAGUGAAAUAAAUGUAUUAUUUUCUGAA